UGUGUGGCAGCCCCGUUACCAUUUCACUUUGUUGCAUCUUUCUUAGAUCCCUAAAAUUAAGGUGACCAAGACGUAAUGCCAUAACCACUCUUCUCUACUUGCCGCGGUAGCUAGACAACGAUGCUCCAUAACCUUUAACUCAACCUUAAAAGUUCUGUUGGCAGCCAUCGGCGCUUUUAGAAUCAACACACCAUUUGAAUCCAAAACGCGCAAAAUCUUGUCCUCCAACCGAAUUUUGUAUCCUC
rnacentral:lncRNA from 1 species